rnacentral:lncRNA from 1 species
ACGCCACCACAUAAAGUGCCUUCUCCAACAUCACACGGCGAGGGGCUUCAUCUCAUUUUGGAAAGCAGUUUUAAGUGUUCCCACAUUUGAAUGCUUCAGACCCUUGCAAGAGACAAUUUGCCAUGGAGAGAGAGAAACUCAGGAAAGACAAGUCAUUCAGUCACUGACAGUUACUAAGAACAUUGCCGAAAAGACACCCUGGGAACCUUCAUUCUUAGUCCAGAGCUCUUUUCACUCUAACAAGCCUGCUCCUAUCGCAGCCUCCUUCCUGUCCUUUAAAACUAGAUAGAUGCUGCCUCUUACUCCAAAGACAACCUUCCAUCAAGGGAGGAGGGACAAUUGCAAUACUGUGACCUCCAACCCCAUGGGUUUCCCAACUCCGUUCUUACCCAGGAAGUCCUGGUCAUGUCAUGGCCACAUAAGCUUAGUGGCAAAAAACACCAUUGAUACAACUGUCAUUGUGAAAGUAUGGAGGUCUGGAGUCUCUCAUAAGCCUGGGGUUUUGGGUCAUCAGGGCCUAUGGCCACCUUACCUGGGCUGAGCUUUUGGACAAGGUGCUGUGCCAGUCUACACCCCUCAGCCAGCUGUUCUUGGAGGUCCUGCCCCUGGGACUUGUCUGGCUUAUCCGGAGUGAGGAGGGCCUGGAGAUGCUGAUUCAAUGAGCGGGAGGCAUCUCUCCCUUCCCGUAACUUCUCCCUUAACUGGGUCAGCUCUCGUUCCUGAGAGUGAACCAGGACUUUAUAUUGCCUAAGCUCCUCAGCUUGCUUGAGCUGCUCUGCAAGCUUCUCCUCCUUGAACUGUCGCUCAUUCCUCAGCAUAGAUUUUAUGAGGUCUUUGCACUCUUCAUAUUCUGAGAAAAGACAGACACGCCUGCCUCAGUGGAAGGCUGGACAUGCUGCUGUGGUCAUUGCCUACAGGGCAGGAGCCAGGUCCAUCCCAAGGACAAAACUCUCCCCAGUACCA